GAAAAGGCCAGGCGACAGGUGUCGCUUGAAAAGACUGGGCUUGUCCUUGCUGGUGCAUGCGUCGUCGGCCUCUGGGCAGCAGGUUUACAAAGGAGGAAAACGACUUCUUCUAGAUUUUUUUUUCAGUUUCUUCUAUAAAUCAAAACAUCUCAAAAUGGAGACCUAAAAUCCUUAAAGGGACUUAGUCUAAUCUCGGGAGGUAGUUUUGUGCAUGGGUAAACAAAUUAAGUAUUAACUGGUGUUUUACUAUCCAAAGAAUGCUAAUUUUAUAAACAUGAUCGAGUUAUAUAAGGUAUACCAUAAUGAGUUUGAUUUUGAAUUUGAUUUGUGGAAAUAAAGGAAAAGUGAUUCUAGCUGGGGCAUAUUGUUAAAGCAUUUUUUUCAGAGUUGGCCAGGCAGUCUCCUACUGGCACAUUCUCCCAUUAUGUAGAAUAGAAAUAGUACCUGUGUUUGGGAAAGAUUUUAAAAUGAGUGACAGUUAUUUGGAACAAAGAGCUAAUAAUCAAUCCACUGCAAAUUAAAGAAACAUGCAGAUGAAAGUUUUGACACAUUAAAAUACUUCUACAGUGACAAAGAAAAAUCAAGAACAAAGCUUUUUGAUAUGUGCAACAAAUUUAGAGGAAGUAAAAAGAUAAAUGUGAUGAUUGGUCAAGAAAUUAUCCAGUUAUUUACAAGGCCACUGAUAUUUUAAACGUCCAAAAGUUUGUUUAAAUGGGCUGUUACCGCUGAGAAUGAUGAGGAUGAGAAUGAUGGUUGAAGGUUACAUUUUAGG
rnacentral:lncRNA from 1 species